CGUUGGUAGAGUGAUUGGUCGAGUGAAUGAUGGUGGUGAUACUCGAC
rnacentral:sRNA from 1 species